UCCCAGAGCGCAAUGGAUAGUGCGUUGGACUUAUAAUCCAAAGGUCGUGGCUUCGAAUCCUACCUCUGGGAU